rnacentral:piRNA from 1 species
UAGAAGAAAAUUUNGGUGCAAGCAUCGUGA